GUGGGGAAUUUUGGACAAUGGGCGCAAGCCUGAUCCAGCCAUGCCGCGUGCAGGAUGAAGGCCUUCGGGUUGUAAACUGCUUUUGUACGGAACGAAAAGACUCCUUCUAAUAAAGGGGGUCCAUGACGGUACCGUAAGAAUAAGCACCGGCUAACUACGUGCCAGCAGCCGCGGUAAUACGUAGGGUGCAAGCGUUAAUCGGAAUUACUGGGCGUAAAGCGUGCGCAGGCGGUUAUGUAAGACAGAGGUGAAAUCCCCGGGCUCAACCUGGGAACUGCCUUUGUGACUGCAUAGCUGGAGUGCGGCAGAGGGUGAUGGAAUUCCGCGUGUAGCAGUGAAAUGCGUAGAUAUGCGGAGGAACACCGAUGGCGAAGGCAAUCCCCUGGGCCUGCACUGACGCUCAUGCACGAAAGCGUGGGGAGCAAACAGGAUUAGAAACCCUAGUAGUCC
rnacentral:rRNA from 1 species